rnacentral:lncRNA from 1 species
ACCCGUAUGUCGCGUUGAACUGUCGUGUGCCGGACUUCUUUCAUUUUUGUCCCGCGUGAUGUCGAUGUUGUUCGAGGAUUCCUCGUUCAUCUGCGCAUUAGGUCAUCAUUGCCGAGUUUCUAAUUCGAUGUUGACAUUGCUUGGAGGUUCCUGGUUAUCGCCGUGUCGGUUUGCAUUUCGUUUGCGACCGUAGAUCUUACUUUCUCUUCC